rfam:Gossypium hirsutum cultivar TM-1 unplaced genomic scaffold scaffold3123.1, whole genome shotgun sequence
UAUAAAAAAAAGUAAUUUAUUUUUACUAUUAAAAACGGUGUGGUUGACGGAAUAAUUAGACAAUUACAUUUGGCACGCCACGUGCACCUCAUACUAACUUACAUGAACUAGUUUUUAAUAAUAGAAAUGGAUGAAAUUGUUAACA